CAAACCUAAAUGAAAAAUUGAAAAAGAGAACAGUUAAAAGUAUUAUUUAAAAAACAAACUCCAUCAUGGAAUAUUGCAUCAUUCACUCGUGUGUGUGUGUUAUGAUUUAUUCCAGA